UACAGGGGGUGCAAACGUUGCUCGGAAUUAUUGGGCGUAAAGCGCGCGUAGGCGGCUACUUAAGUCGGAUGUGAAAGCCCCUGGCUCAACUGGGGAAGUGCACCCGAAACUGAGCAGCUAGAGUACGAAAGAGGGUCGCGGAAUUCCCGGUGUAGAGGUGAAAUUCGUAGAUAUCAGGAGGAACACCGGUGGCGAAGGCGGCUUCCUGGACACUAACUGACGCUGAGACGCGAAAGCGUGGGGAGCAAACAGG
rnacentral:rRNA from 1 species